AACGAACGCUGGCGGCAUGCCUAACACAUGCAAGUCGAACGAGACCUUCGGGUUUAGUGGCGCACGGGUGCGUAACGCGUGGGAACCUGCCCUUAGGUUCGGAAUAACUCCCCGAAAGGGGUGCUAAUACCGGAUAAUGUCUUCGGACCAAAGAUUUAUCGCCUUUGGAUGGGCCCGCGUUGGAUUAGCUAGUUGGUAGGGUAAAAGCCUACCAAGGCGACGAUCCAUAGCUGGUCUGAGAGGAUGAUCAGCCACACUGGGACUGAGACACGGCCCAGACUCCUACGGGAGGCAGCAGUGGGGAAUAUUGGACAAUGGGCGAAAGCCUGAUCCAGCAAUGCCGCGUGAGUGAUGAAGGCCUUAGGGUUGUAAAGCUCUUUUACCCGGGAUGAUAAUGACGGUACCGGGAGAAUAAGCACCGGCUAACUCCGUG
rnacentral:rRNA from 1 species